rnacentral:rRNA from 1 species
ACGGAAUAGAUACCCUGGUAGUCCACGCCCUAAACGAUGUCUACUAGUUGUUGGUGGAGUAAAAUCCAUGAGUAAACGCAGCUAAACGCGUGAAGUAGACCGCCUGGGGAGUACGGUCGCAAGAUUAAAACUCAAAUGAAUUGACGGGGGCCCGCACAAGCGGUGGAUUAUGUGGAUUAAUUCGAUGCAACGCGAAAACCUUAACCUGGCCUUGACAUGUAACGAACUUUCCAGAGAUGGAUUGGUGCUCGAAAGAGAACGUUAACACAGGUGCUGCAUGGCUGUCGUCAGCUCGUGUCGUGAGAUGUUGGGUUAAGUCCCGCAACGAGCGCAACCCUUGCCAUUAAUUGCCAUCAUUUAGUUGGGCACUUUAAUGGGACUGCCGGUGACAAACCGGAGGAAGGUGGGGAUGACGUCAAGUCCUCAUGGCCCUUAUGGCCAGGGCUUCACACGGUAAUACAAUGGUCGGUACAGAGGGUUG